rnacentral:rRNA from 1 species
GACGAACGCUGGCGGCGUGCUUAACACAUGCAAGUCGAACGGAAAGGCCCUGCUUUUGUGGGGUGCUCGAGUGGCGAACGGGUGAGUAACACGUGAGUAACCUGCCCUUGACUUUGGGAUAACUUCAGGAAACUGGGGCUAAUACCGGAUAGGAGCUCCUGCUGCAUGGUGGGGGUUGGAAAGUUUCGGCGGUUGGGGAUGGACUCGCGGCUUAUCAGCUUGUUGGUGGGGUAGUGGCUUACCAAGGCUUUGACGGGUAGCCGGCCUGAGAGGGUGACCGGCGAGUGGGGGGCGGGGAAGCGGCCACGAGGGCGAGGGGAGGCAGAAGGGGGGCAUAGGAGCAGGGGGGAGGAGGCCGGAUGCCGCCGCGCGGCGUGCGGGCCGCGGGCCGUGGGUUUGUAAGCGGGGGGCGCCGGGGACGAGGAGUGAGGGAGGGUGAUGGGGAAAGCAGCACCGGCUAACGACGCGCCAGCAGCCGCGGUAAUAAGCGGAAGAGCAGACGGCUGAAC